UACGAAGGGUGCAAGCGUUAAUCGGAAUUACUGGGCGUAAAGCGCGCGUAGGUGGUUCAGUAAGUUGGAAGUGAAAUCCCCGGGCUCAACCUGGGAACUGCAUCCAAAACUGCUGAGCUAGAGUACGGUAGAGGGUGGUGGAAUUUCCUGUGUAGCGGUGAAAUGCGUAGAUAUAGGAAGGAACACCAGUGGCGAAGGCGACCACCUGGACUGAUACUGACACUGAGAUGCGAAAGCGUGGGGAGCAAACAGG
rnacentral:rRNA from 1 species